rnacentral:rRNA from 1 species
UACGGGGGGGGCAAGCGUUGUUCGGAAUUACUGGGCGUAAAGGGCGCGUAGGCGGCUCGUCAAGUCGGGCGUGAAAUCUCCGGGCUUAACCCGGAAAAGUCGUUCGAUACUGUUGAGCUAGAGUGUGGAAGGGGCUACUGGAAUUCCGUGUGUAGCGGUGAAAUGCGCAGAUAUCAGGAAGAACACCCGUGGCGAAGGCGGUUCUCUGGGACGGUACUGACGCUGAGACGCGAAAGCGUGGGGAGCGAACAGG